CCAAGGGGCAACCUCCGGUCUCGAAAAAUGAAGCCAAUGCGGAAUUUUUUAUAACUCAUCGGAUUUUAUUCUAUUAAGGAAAAUGACUAUGCCCAUAUAAGGGUUGUGGCAGAUUUGAUUAACAGCUCUGCGCGCUGCAUCUGUCUGUCAGGUCAGCAGGUCAGGAGGUCAGCAGGUCAGGAGGCUAACAGCUUGAUCUGUCUGAUUUCUCUUUUUUACUUCGUUUGGAGAGUUUGUUUAACACAUAUCUGACAACAUACAUGGCUUGCUGUGCGGUUAACAGACCAUCCAAGAAGUUGAUGCUUCAUUUUUUUUCGACCCCGCACUAAAAGUCCAUGUUCUCCUGGAUCCAUGUCACACGCUCAAGCUUCUUCAGAAUGACUUUUCAACAGUCAAAGUUCUGGUGAGAGAAGAUGGCCAGCAGAUAAGACUGCAGUACAUGAAGGAGCUCCACAAGCUUCAGGAGGAGGAGGAGGGUUUGCACCUUGGAAGACUGUAUUCAUGCUUCAGCUGUUCAAAUAAAAAUAGAUCUCCUCCAAAUAACUUGCAAUCAAACCAUUUUC